AACGCUGAUUAAUCAAUAGAAAGCCGUAGGAGGACAAUACUGUCAAAAAAGCCCAGACAUCUCAAAUAGAAAUCAGCAGAGCUUCACUCGGCUCACUGGUGCAGUCACAGUGGAAAUGAUAGCAGUUUCAACAGUUACAGCAGCAAAAAUAAUCCCAGAUUUGAAUGGAGGAAGCUUCCUGUUAGGAGCCCGAACAGCAAGCUGAACAGCAAGCCUGAACAUCCGAGUGAGUCUGACUUUUAAAGGACGAUCUUCAACCUCGAGAAGAACAAGGAGUCCUGAAACAGAUGGACGGCCCCCACAGAGCCCUGAUCAACAUUAUGGAGUCAGUCUGGAAUUACACGAGGCAACAGACGGCAGAGAGUGCCUCAACCCUCACAAGCACUCACGCUGAUGAAGACAAACUGUCUUUUUACAUACAACAGCACGAAACUGAGGUUGUUUUAGUGGUAAACAGCUGAGGAAUUCUUGGUUGUGUGCUGCAAAAUAUCUCAAUUCGUGACUGAAUAAAAACUUAAAUUAUUCAGACACAAACAAAUCCUUUAAUCCGCUAAUCCAUCUAAUUUUAUUCUCACCAAACAAAAUUCCCUCCUGUUCAUACCAAAGUAGCAGUUGUGG